rnacentral:lncRNA from 1 species
GAGUCCUCACUAACAGGUGGGCCGGCCCUUCCCAACCAUCUGGCAGGACGGCUCAGACCCGAGGAAACAGAAGCCCAGGGCUGCAAAGCCAGCGAGAGAGGAUGGGAAGGGCGCAGGUGCAUGCAGGUGCAUGAUCACGAGAAGCUCAAAGCUCUCCGCAUGAGGCCCUCCUUGGGAUCUCGCUGCCUGUUCACACAGCUCCUCCCACGUCGCAAAGUCCAUCCACAUCCAGACCUCACAGCCACCUGCACACAAGGCAUAAUGCUGUUCCUUCCUUCAGGUGCGCUCUGGACUCUGGUAAGGGCAGCUGGUGCACUGCGGGGCUCACAGAGUUCUCUGGAGGCCAGGUCGAGGAGGAGGGCAUGGGCCACACCCCUGCUGCCCUGGGGGACUCCCCAAGGCCCCUCACUGCUGUUCAUCACGCCUGCAACCCACAGAUGCUCACAAAAGUCUCUGGAAGGAACUGCCUUUAUCAGAGCCGAUUCUUAACCACACCAGAGACUGACUCUCCUUAUUGGGAAGAACUCCUGACUCAUACUCGAACCAAUUCAAAUGCCAUAUUCCUGAUUUGAUUCGAUGGACUUUUGCCUUUCAACCAUUUCUCAAAGGUGACUUUUCCAUAAAGGAUGAAGAAUGGCUUUCCCUGGGGAAUCCUAGGAACAGACCACAGGCUCUGAAGGCAUUUCUGGGAGAUACUUUAAGGCAGUGGCUCUCAACCUUGGCUGCCUCUGAAGCCAAACAGGAAGAUUGAAAACAAAAUACAGACCCCAAACCUCACUCUCAGAAAUUCGGGUGUAGGAAGUCUAAGGCACAGGCUGGUGGAGAGAUUUUUGCUCCCCAGGUGAUUCUAAUGCAUAACCAGGGCAGGAACCGGGACCAGAAACAUACCUACUGCGCUCCCCGUCCCAGUGGGGUCAGACGCCUACCUGGACGUUAUAAAUUUUGGAAAUUUGCACAGCCUUCCUCGUCAUAGCUGACCACGAAUGGGUGGCUUGCCCAAGAUCUCAGAGCUGGAAGUACCAGCUCGGCCUCCUUCAAUACUUGUUGAUGGAGUUCCCGUCGUGGCGCAGUGGUUAACGAACCAGACUCGUAUCCAUGAGGAUGCAAGUUCAAUCCCUGCCCUUGCUCAGUGGGUUAAGGAUCAGGCAUUGCUGUGAGCUGUGGGCGGCAGCUACAGCUCCGGUCCGACCCCUAGCCUGGGGACCUCCAUAGGCUGGGGGUACGGCCCUAAAAAAGACCAAAACAAUGAAUUUUAAAAAUGAUAUUUACUGAGCACCUGUGUCCUGGGCAAUCUCCUAACAAUCAGAAGAUUUUACAAAUCUCUGGAUUUGGGGCCACCGCCACGCAACACUUGCGCAAGGCAGGGCCUACUUGUCGCUGGGUCGGUGGUGCCCUUCCUUGGACCCGCAGGCCCUCUUGGGGCUACCCCUUCUCCAUCCCACGUGGCCUGUUGACUUGACCGAUCUGGCCAUGCCACAUCCACUUUUGUGAGGCCUGCAUUACCCCACGGAUGGAGGGGAAGAACACCCACUUAGAUGCCUAUCUCAUCCCUACUGGAAAAAUCAGUCUUUGCUUUUACCUAAAGAAACGGGAGCCAGACCCGAUACACAACUGUGGAAAUCCAGCCGAUAAUGACAGAAGGGAAGCACCACACGGACCGUGUCUCUUCAUCUCAAACCGCCUUCAGAUGCCCAACCCACUGGCGUCAGAAACCUCCAGGGCCCUUCCCCUUCUGUCUCCACCCAACCCGGCUGCUCAACCAGGUCCUGAAAAUAGUCUGGAUAUCAAACCCAGAUCGGUGGCCACCAGGCAGGCAACACAGAAACCCCUGAGCACAGGAAGCACUGUUCCUACUGCCUUUCAGAAUGAUCCGUGGAGAGGCCGCAUUAAAAGGGAAAAUGCCAUCCCACCGUAGAAUGAGACUAUCAAGGGGCAGAACGCAACCCAGCGCAUACACACACACGGGUGGAAACCGUGAAAUACGUUCACGUACAUCCACCGAGGGCCAGAAGGGAAUGCGAAGGAUCCACGUAAUUUUCGUUUUGUUAAUUAGCCUCUUUCAAAAAAAAAGGGCCUUCAUGUUACCAGUUCUCUAAAAAAUGAUGCAAAAAAAUUACUCGCAACUUCCUCAUCUGCAAGAUGGAAUAACAAUGGUACCUGGAGUGCAGGAAUCUGAGAGAACUGAAAGGGUUCGUUGAGAUGCAGCACUGGCACGGAGCCAAAGACGCAAUCUUUGCGAUUUUUGUUAGUAUUCAGGCUCCGAGGCAAUUUAUCGUUCCCUUCCCCUCUUCCUUUGCCCAAAAGAAGCGAAUGAAGUGGGUCUACGGACUGCCCGUGACCUCUGCCCAUGACCUCUGCCCAUGACCUUUGCCCAUGAAAUAAAGAUGACCACAUUCAGCUGUGACAUUCUUUCUAAGUAUCAACUCAUGGUUUUGAAUGCUUCCGUGACGGCAGCGUCUAUUACAGAGAAGGUAUUUUGGUCCAAUUCUCUGGCUGGAAGAGCUCUACGGAGGUGCGUGUUUAACCGUCUGUCUGCUUUUCUCUCUCCCUGCAAAGGCUUAUAAACUCCAGGAUGGGAAACGUGCCUAAUUCCUUCCUGCCCCUGCAGUGCCCAGCCCAGUAGCUGGAAGUCACUAAACAUUCACAGUAUUGUGAUAUGAAUAUAAAUCAAGAGAAA